GGGUUCCAAUAGCUAAAUGUAGUGUUAAUAAGUGGGGGUUGGUUGGAAGAGGUAGGUCACUGGGGGUGUGACCUAGUAGAGUGGAUCUGCCUCCCCAUUUUCUCCUCUUCACUCUCUGCUACCUGUUUGUCAUGCCCUGAGCAGCUCUCCUCUGCUGUGCCCCUCUGCCCACUAUGGACUGAAACAUGAACCAAAACAAACCUCUCCUCCCUUAAAUUACCAUGAAUCUAACCAGCCUUUCUGAUCAGCAACAAUGACAUCCCCAGGAAGUACAGACAAUUAGAACACAAAUACAACCUUGCAAUUAGAGGCGCUGAAUGCCAGUACUGGGGAUUGAACCCAGGGCCUUGUGCAUGUGAGCUAUGGGGAUCAAAUUCAAGGUCGUACAAAUAUCAAGGAAAUGUUUUACCAAAUUCUGACAGAAAAUUAUUCUGAAUUCAGAAUUUAUACCUCAUGAAGUAUCACUUAAAUAUUCUGAAUCCAGGAUUCCAUACCCAGUUCAUCCACAAUGAAGUGAGAGCAACAUUAACAUGUAUUCACACAUGCAAAGAUUCGAAAAGUUUGCCAUCCAGGAAUGCUUUCUGCAAGAGACACAUGAAGAUCCACCAAGAGAAGGUAAAGAAGGAGGAAGAAGAGAGGGGAAAGAGGAAGACAUGGGCUACAAGCAACAUGGUUAGCAAGAAACCAAUAAAACUGCAAAAUAACUGGAGAAAGUAUGUUUUGAAGGUUGUGUGUUGGCUGAGGUCGCUGAUAAUAAGGGGUCUUCGCUGUCAGCUGGCUUUUAUCAAUGAGGAUCUGGAGCUCAGCCUUCACAGCCUUUGGGCCUCCUCAACAGUGGUGCUGGCCCUGCUGAUUUGCUUCUGAGGUCUGGCUGCUUUCUCGUCAGGGCAGUGAGUGGCUGUGAAGCUGCUCAGCUGAUCCUGGGUCCGGAAGUGGGCUCCAGUGGACUUCCUGUCAGGGUUUGUGGAACAAACAGACCAGCAGCUGAGGCUUCCUCUGAGGCAGAUGACUGGGGGGGGGGAGCGGGAGGGAGGCAAACAGAGAGAGGUCGAGACAGAGACAGACAGAGAGAGAACCCAAACUGUUUCACUUGGUGUUGUCCCCACCCCAUCAUUUUAGGUC
ensembl:lncRNA